rnacentral:rRNA from 1 species
UACGUAGGUGGCAAGCGUUAUCCGGAUUUAUUGGGCGUAAAGGGAACGCAGGCGGUCUUUUAAGUCUGAUGUGAAAGCCUUCGGCUUAACCGGAGUAGUGCAUUGGAAACUGGGAGACUUGAGUGCAGAAGAGGAGAGUGGAACUCCAUGUGUAGCGGUGAAAUGCGUAGAUAUAUGGAAGAACACCAGUGGCGAAAGCGGCUCUCUGGUCUGUAACUGACGCUGAGGUUCGAAAGCGUGGGUAGAAAACAGG